UUUUGUUUUUGUUGUUGGGUUUUUUUUUUUUAAUUCCACUGAAGAGUUUUCUAGAGUUUUCACCGAGGGGUGAGAAAUCCAGGGUUCUGUCCAGUCUUCUCCAGCUCACCACCCUACUUUAGGAACUCAUAACCUGAUGAUAGACGCAGUUACAGUAACAAAGAAGCUUGCAAAGGAAACAGUGGAAAGGGGCAAGUUUUGGUGACCACGGAGUGUCCCACAGCUGACUGCUCUCCUUUGCCUAAACUCGGCAAGGAUCCAAACACUUGCUACCAGCCAGGCCCCUUGUCCCUGUCCAUCUCCUAAAUGAGCCUAGAUGAUACGGUAAGUUUCUUCCUAGUCUGGAGAAGUCUACGGUAAGUCUACGGUAAGUCUUCCUAGUCUGGAAAUUUCUGUCUUGGAUGAUUGAUCCUGAUUUUUAUUAUGUGGUGUAUAGACUCCACACUAGUAGAGUUUCCCUGAACUUAAGGUAAUUCAGGAAGGAAGUACCUUGAAUUCUAAGUUGAAAGAUGCUGGGAAGACUUUGCUCAGUUGAAAGACACUGGAGAGGUUUGGACUGGGUGAUUAGGUAGGAGACGGUCCUGUUCUUUUCCCUGAAUGGGUUGCUUUCAUAGAGUUUGUUGGAAUAAAAGUGAACAUACCAUAGGUGAGCUUUCAGUUCUGAAGAUAGGGGCAGAAUUCCUCCUGGCCGGUUUACAGCUCUCUCAGGCAACCAGAAGCUUGCAGGAGUGGUGGAGGCGAGUCUGCCCAUAGUACAGCAGCCCCUUGUGACACUCAUUUAUUAAAGAAACUUGCUGGUCUGGGACUUCCCUAGUGGUUCAGUGGUUAAGGACCUGCCUGCCAUUGCAGGGGACAUGGGUUCAAUCCCUGAUCCAGGAAGAUUCCACAUGCUAAGCCCGAGUACCACAACCCUGGGGCCUGGAGUCCAUGCUCUGAGACAAGUAGCCCCCGCUUGCCGCAACUAGAAAAAAGCCGGUGUAGCACAGCCAAGAAAAAAUUUUAAAAAUUUAAAAAAUAAUAUUUUUAAAGGGGAGGGAGAAGAGACCUUUUUAAAUUCAAACUUGCUAGAAAGGCUCCCUCACCUACACUUUGAUUCACAGCCUCCUUCACAUUCUGUCAAAGAUGAAUUGUUCAGUCACUGUCUUGUCUGACUCUUGUGAAUACAAAUCUCAAAAGUCUUUUCUGCAAAUAGUAAAAAUCCUUAGCCAUUUGAGUGGAUAAACUUAACUUAUUCCACUUUUUUUUUUAUAAACUAGUAAGUUUUAUAUUGUAAUACGUGUUUCUUGACUGAGUUUUAAAAUGAAGCUGUGAGAUCUCUGGUUGUAUCUGUCUGUAUGUGUGUGCAUUAUAGAUAUGUGUCUCUACCUCCAGAUGGUAUUAUCAAAAUCAAUUUGUUAAAGAGCUCUAUUUAAUUCACUUAAAAGUAAGUCUUCAUAAAUUAAAUAUUUAUAAAUUUUACAGUAACUAGCCCAAAUGAAUUUCAAGUUUACAUGAUCUGGGAGAUAUUCAAUAUUAAAUUAAUAUACAGUAUUAAAGUUUAAGUUUAUUGGUUUAAUUAAUACAGACAUGUCUUACUUUUAUUGAACCUAGGUUUACUAAAAAGUUAUCAAAUAUUAUCUCUUAUGAAAUUUAUUAGCAAGAAGAAUAGCUUGGGAUGAUGGCUAACUUGGUCUAAUGUUUCAUGAAGGAUUUCAUGCAUAAUCUAAACAUAAUUGUUGGGAACGAGUAAAUAAAUGAGGUAAGAGCUUUUAGGGGAACUCUUCCUGUUUUAUGGUGGUGUGCACAGGGAAUGUUGCCUGCCGUUCUAGUAAGUAAUGUUGCCUGCCAUUGCAGUUAACAAGGGUCAAAUCAGCCCCUGUAACCCCUCAUAUCCCCCUGCCCAAAUGGUGCACCUUGAGGGGAACUCAGGAUAGAGGAAAACAGGAAGCAUUAUUUGCUUUGGAUACUGGCCCUCAGUAGUUAAGAUGCGUAUCUGGGGGAUAAUUUCAGUGAGUCCAGUUUCCCGCAACUUCCUAUAGAUAGACAAGACUAGAACCAUGAACUCCAGGUGCCUGUCUGUGUGAUUAGCAGUCAUUUUGGGAUGUUUGACUACCAUUCUUUUUCCCCGCCAAGCAAACUCUCUUAUAUAUCCUGGCUCCUCCCUUAACUUCUUUGGAGCAGUUUCUCAGCUAUUGGAGAGGUUUUCCCCUGGGUUAUAGUCUUCAAUAAGGUCCCCAAAUAAAAUUUAACUGGAAACUUUUAGAUUGCUUUUUUUUUAGUCAACUGUAUGUCUGCUUAAAAAUGGUAACUGAGCAACUUGAAACUUUAUAGUUUUGCUAAGUUAAGUUAAAUGAUAGAAAUUUAUUGAAUAUAUAGAUGAUUGUCAAGUAAAAAAGAUACUGAAAUAUUAAUUACUGAACAUAGGCUUCCUUUUACAGAGAAACUAAAGAUAUUCAGGACUAUUAUGGGGAUGCAUUCAUAAAUUUUCUAUAAAACAUUUUUAGAAAUCACAAAUAGUAUUUGUAAGUUUGCUGAUUUAUAGAGUGCUAAUUGACUUUUCAUGCAUUAGCAAGGAAAUGGCAACCCAUUGGAGAAGGAAAUGGCAACCCACUCCAGUAUUCUUGCCUGGAGAAUCCCAGGGAUGGGGGAGCCUGGUGGGCUGCCGUCUAUGGGGUCGCACAGAGUCGGACAUGACUGAAGCGACUUAGCAGCAGCAGCAGCAGCAGCAGCAGCAAUGUGAAAAGAAUUCAUAACUGCUUACUUCUUAAUUUUCACUACAAAGGAAGAUUUUUAAAGCUUAAGAACUCUAUUAUGUGUAAUCAAUUUAAUUAAAUAAGGAAAACAUCUUCAGAGGAAAGGAAAAAUAUAAAGAAUGGAAAUGCAUUUCAUUAAAGGAAAAGAAAGUGAUUUUUGUCUUAAAUCUGAUUAUUUCUAAAUGGGGAGGAAAGGGACAGACAAAUAAGGAUAUAAAAGAUUUGUGAGAAAAAAAGGAAUAUAAAGGAAUUCUAUGUGGGGUCAGGAUUAUCCAAGAGUAGAAUAAAUUUAAUUAUGAAAAUAAAUUUUAAUAUUAAAGAUAAGGUGGUGCAAAACUAGAAAUUUAUUUUCUUUCUUUGCUAAGAGAAAAUUUUUUUGACAUAUUGAUCUGCUUUUUGAUAACAGAAAAAAUUUUCUUUCCUUUUAAGUGGUCUGUUAACUUUCUGUAAGGGCUUCCCUGGUGGCUCAGUGAUAAAGAAUCCGCCUGCCAAUGCAGGAGACAUGGGUUCGAUCCCUGGGUUGGGACAAUACCCUGGAAAAGGAAAUGGCAACCCACUCUAGUAUUCUUGCCUGGGGAGUCCCAUGGACAGAGGAGCCUGGUGGGCUACAGUUCACUGGGUCGCAAGAGUCAGGCACAACUGAGCGUGGGCACACAGACACAUAACUUUCUGUGUUUUGCCUUUAAAAUCUUCUAUUGUCAUUCUGGUUAACUGAGUAAGUAUUGUUUCACAGUGAUCUAUGAUUCCACCCGACCAAGUGUUUUAAAACCUUUUUGAUAUCUUUGACAAGCUUCCCCAAUCAAGUUCUAAAUGUAAUUUUUAAAAAAUAUACACUUUCAUCCAUCUAUUUACUGGGCUGUGCCAGGUCCCAGCUGCACGAGAAAUGGAAUAUUUCCUGCCACAUCUGUAAACAAGGAUGUCACCGUCAUCAGCGACUGCAGCCCUCCACUGUGAGCUGGUGAGCCCUCAGAGAACUCAGCAAGGAGAAGAACACCUGUGAUCUAGCAGCCAUCAACUACAGCCACUCCCUAUGGUGAGCCUUGAGGAAAGGAAGCCCAGAAUGGGAAAAACGCAGGAUCCUGGCCCCAGAGACCCGAGGUGCAAUCAAAGAAAUGAUUUCAGUUGCGUGUACAUUUUCAGUCGGCACUCAGGAUCUUCAGUUGCGGCAUGAGAACUCCUAGUUGCGGCAUAUGGAAUCCAGUUCCCCGACCAGGGAUUGAACUCGGGCCUCCAGCCACUGGACCACUAGGGAAGUGCCCUAAAUGAAUUUCUUUUGAUCUCUAGCAAACUUUGGGAUGCUUCAGAGGGCUUCUGAAACAUCUCAAAGAGAGAUACUAAACUAAUGAGGCUUAUGUAGUGUGUUAAACUACAUGGGAAACAUUGUCACUGAUGAUAAAGCUUCUUAGGUUUUAUCAUGUGGGUAUAUGUUACUAAUACAAAAUUACUAAAAUUUGGAUAUAUCCUAGUAUAUUAUCAAUCAUGAAUCUAAUUCUUGUCUUAAUAUACUAUGUGUCACAGACAUAAUCAAAUUCCCUUGUCAGUUGUAAUUAGAUCUUUAACCAUCCCGUUUUCAGUCUUUUGUCGGUUAUAUAGACAGUUAUUAGUUUGCUCUGAUGCUUUUACAAAACUGAGGAUCUUCAGAAAGAUUCAUAGAAAGGACUUUUUGACAAUAUAGGCUUCUGGUAACUUUCUCUUUUUUUUGGCUGUGCUGAGUCCUCAUUGCUGCGCGGGCUUUCCUCUGGCUGCGGCGCGUGGGGGCUGCUCUUCAUGGGGGCACGGGCUUCGCACUGCGGCGGCUUCUCUUGGGAAGAACAGGCUGUCGCGCAUGUGGGCUUCAGUAGUCGCAGCUCCCAGGCACCAGAGCACAGACUCAGUAUUGUGGCGCACAGGCUUCAUUGCUCCGUGGCGUGGACCAGAUCUGGGAUCACACCCAUGUUUCCUGCGUUGGCAGAUGGAUUCUUCACCACUGAGCCAGCCACCAGGGAAGCCUGGUUUCUGGUAACUUUGAGAUCAUACUACUGAACUGAGUAAGAAAUACCAAAACUCAAAUGGAAAACCCCAUGGCUUUGUAAAACUACUAACAAAACAAUCUAAAUCAACAAGAAUUAAUUGCAUGGGGCUGGAUGACCU
ensembl:lncRNA